AGGGGUGGAAAAUCGGGUACCCGCGGGUACCCUACCCGCAAAAUGCGGGUACCCGCGGGACGAAAACUGCCGAAAAUGGCACCCUCACCCGACCCUCUUCCCCGAUGCGGGUACCCGAAUACCCGCAGCGGAUACCCGCUGCGGGUAUGAGGGUACCCUCACAGUCCCGCAAUUUUUUUUUUAGUUGUAAUUUUGCGGGUUUUUGGUCCCGCUGGAGGGUAUUUCGUCCCGCGAGAGGGUAUUUCGUCCCGCGGGAGGGUAUUUUGUCCCGC
rnacentral:lncRNA from 1 species